CACGUAGGGCGCAAGCGUUGUCCGGAAUUAUUGGGCGUAAAGAGCUCGUAGGCGGUCUGUUACGUCUGCUGUGAAAACCCAGGGCUUAACCCUGGGCUUGCAGUGGAUACGGGCAGACUAGAGGCAGGUAGGGGAGAAUGGAAUUCCCGGUGUAGCGGUGAAAUGCGCAGAUAUCGGGAAGAACACCCGUGGCGAAGGCGGUUCUCUGGGACGGUACUGACGCUGAGACGCGAAAGCGUGGGGAGCGAACAGG
rnacentral:rRNA from 1 species